AUUGAACGCUGGCGGAAUGCUUUACACAUGCAAGUCGAACGGCAGCACGGACUUCGGUCUGGUGGCGAGUGGCGAACGGGUGAGUAAUAUAUCGGAACGUGCCCAGUCGUGGGGGAUAACGUAGUGAAAAUUACGCUAAUACCGCAUACGAUCUACGGAUGAAAGCGGGGGAUCGCAAGACCUCGCGCGAUUGGAGCGGCCGAUAUCAGAUUAGGUAGUUGGUGAGGUAAAGGCUCACCAAGCCGACGAUCUGUAGCUGGUCUGAGAGGACGACCAGCCACACUGGGACUGAGACACGGCCCAGACUCCUACGGGAGGCAGCAGUGGGGAAUUUUGGACAAUGGACGCAAGUCUGAUCCAGCCAUUCCGCGUGCAGGACGAAGGCCUUCGGGUUGUAAACUGCUUUUGUACAGAACGAAAAGGUCUCUAUUAAUACUGGGGGCUCAUGACGGUACUGUAAGAAUAAGCACCGGCUAACUACGUGCCAGCCGCCGCCGUAAAAC
rnacentral:rRNA from 1 species